rnacentral:lncRNA from 1 species
UCCCCUCUGGCACAACAUCUUACACUCCACAAGGUGGAGACUCUACCUGACCUCUUCCAGCAAGCUCAAGCAUUCAUUGAGGUGGAAGAGCAGAAUGAGAACAAGCUGGUGGAACUUGAGACCACCAGCUACAAAAAACCAAAGUUCGAGAAGAAGAGUUACGGCGGAAAGAACAGUUUCCGAGGCUCCUCGAGCAAGUACACUGAGCAUGCGGCUAGCCCCUACAAAAAGGAGUGGAAGCCAAAGCAUGACAACAAGGUGUACCAAACAACCACCAAACAGUCGCCAAAGGGUCCACCCCAACCAUGGAAGGAUUGGACCCCUCUUACAAUCAAUAAGGGCGAGCUGUUUGAGAAACUGAAAAGUCGGGCAGAUCUACCUCCUGCCCGCACUCUGGACCCUGCAACCAAAAGUAGUCGGAAGAAAGGGGGACGGUUCUGUAAAUUUCACAAGGACCACGGCCACCUCACCGACCACUGCAGGGAAUUCUCGAUCUACGUCGAGCAACUGGUCUCCAAGGGUGAACUUGGCAACUUCGUCAAAGGACCCCGAGGACGAGACGGUU